rnacentral:piRNA from 1 species
AGAGAAACUCGCAAUGAGAUGCUUCUAGGC